rnacentral:misc_RNA from 1 species
UUACUUUCGUUUUAUGAUUGAUCAAAUGACAUUGUCUUUGUACAGGUGUUAAAAAGUGUUUCAAAUGCACAAGUGUGUGAAAAUAAUGAUUUUUUCGGGCUUCCUCUAUGACAGAGUCCACCCUAUUUCAUUAAUGAUCCUUCCGCAGGUUCACCUACGGAAA